rnacentral:rRNA from 1 species
GCGCGAAAACUUUACAAUGCCGGCAACGGCGAUAAGGGGACCUCGAGUGCCAGGUUACAAAUCUGGCUGUCGUGAUGCCUAAAAAGCAUUGCAUAGCAAGGGCCGGGCAAGACCGGUGCCAGCCGCCGCGGUAACACCGGCGGCUCGAGUGGUAACCGUUAUUAUUGGGUCUAAAGGGUCUGUAGCCGGCCGGAUAAGUCUCUUGGGAAAUCCAGCAGCUCAACUGUUGGGCUUUCAGGAGAUACUGUCUGGCUCGAGGCCGGGAGAGGUGAGAGGUACUUCAGGGGUAGGGGUGAAAUCUUGUAAUCCUUGAAGGACCACCAGUGGCGAAGGCGUCUCACCAGAACGGACCUGACGGCAAGGGACGAAAGCUAGGGGCACGAACCGGAUUAGAUACCCGGGUAGUCCUAGCCGUAAACGAUACUCGCUAGGUGUCGGCCACGGUGCGACCGUUGUCGGUGCCGUAGGGAAGCCGUGAAGCGAGCCACCUGGGAAGUACGGCCGCAAGGCUGAAACUUAAAGGAAUUGGCGGGGGAGCACCGACAAC